CCCACCUUGCUUCUCUACCUAGAGGAAGCGGCUUGGCAGUUUCGCCCCUCCAGAGAGUGCAUUUUCACAUUCCAGGUGUGCAAAACUAUCUGGAUGACUUUAGACCAGUCCCUUUCUCUCAGCACAACUCACCUCACAGGAUUGUUGUUGUGAGAAAAAUGGGAGAGGAAGGAGUAUUAGUUUUGCAUAUUCUGGAAUUCUUCCAAGCUUAUGGAUAUCACUUUCAAGGGUAAGUAGCUGUUGGACGAGAUCAGGACAUGGUUAUUCUAACUCUGAAAAUGAGUGAGCUAUAUCUGGUAUUCCAAAAAGAACCCAAGAGAGCACCAUGUCUUUAAUUAUUACAUCACAUUAUUUCUCUCAACACUGUGCAGAACCAUAACCGUGAGUUUUAAUCCUAAAUAAAACUAGAUGGAUUCG